rnacentral:rRNA from 1 species
UACGGAGGGGGCUAGCGUUGUUCGGAAUUACUGGGCGUAAGGCGCGCGUAGGCGGCUUAGCAAGUUAGAGGUGAAAGCCCGAAGCUCAACUUCGGAAUUGCCUUUAAAACUGCAAAGCUAGAAUCAUGGAGAGGUGAGUGGAAUUCCGAGUGUAGAGGUGAAAUUCGUAGAUAUUCGGAAGAACACCAGUGGCGAAGGCGACUCACUGGACAUGUAUUGACGCUGAGGUGCGAAAGCGUGGGGAGCAAACAGG